UGUCUUUCAGCACAAUCCUUGGCUCAAAUAUUACAUUUUCAGGUGUUCCAGUUUGGACCUUACACAUAACCAAAUGUUCAUAUAGCAAAGACUUUGUGCCAACUGAAGCCUGUUCAGAGAUACAACCAUUUAUUUAGGUAACAGGAUCAGGAGAGCCCAAACCUAUGUGGGUAUGCAGAUCUGAAUGAGACAAGAUUGAGACUGCCCUGGAACAGAGCACAAGAACGGAACACAGGAGCAUGGGGAAAAACCCUUUAACCUUAACUUUAGUGGAAGUGCUGAAUAUCACAGAACACAAAGAGAAGAGAAGGCAAAACUGACAGGGCUUAUAAAUAUUUCAAGAAGGUUCAGAUAAGCAUAUUUCUGCCAGCAUUUUUAAGACAGAUGGACAUGCUGGGAUCAAGGACACAUAGGAAGUCUAAAUUUGCAAGUUGCUUAAGAGCCAGGAGUGGCUAAAUUCCUGCCA
rnacentral:lncRNA from 1 species